UGGACGACUCUCGGCAACGGAUAUCUCGGCUCUCGCAUCGAUGAAGAACGUAGCGAAAUGCGAUACCUGGUGUGAAUUGCAGAAUCCCGUGAACCAUCGAGUCUUUGAACGCAAGUUGCGCCCGAGGCCAUCCGGCUAAGGGCACGCGUGCCUGGGCGUCACGC
rnacentral:rRNA from 1 species